UUUUUUUUAGAUAUUUUCUAAUCAACCUCUUCAGAGAUGUUUUUACAAAGCUCUGGAGCAGUUGGGACUUUAACCUGGGUCUCCUGGCUCAGAGGUAGAGAAUCUACCAGUGCAUCACAAGAAUCCUCAUUCAUCUUUUAAGAAGGUGCUAAUGUACAUCAGCUGCUGUAUUUGAUGUCAUUCUGGUAGGUAUGUAGGUGGCCGCUAGGCACUGCCUGCGAUAGGCAGAGAAUAUACAACCAUUGUGGUUAAAGUUCUUUCGAGCAAAAUAAGAGGAUUAGAAAAGGACAGAAAUGGAAUUGGCUGAGAUUUUGUAUGCAUUUUAUCUAAAUAUGCACAUAGAUAGCGGCUGUUUGGAGCAGAUCCUGGAGGUAAGUUAGUUCUCCUUGACUAUCAGUUAGAAAAAAAAGUUAUCAUUUUGCUCUGUGCAGGAGUUCACAUUUCUGACCCAAUGAUGUUUUAAUUUGCCUGGAUCUGUCUUCCCUAUGGAUCAGACCCUGCAGCACUCACUGCCUAAGCAGUGAAAAAGAAUUCGGGUAGGAGGGGGUCAACCCUAGACUUCAAGAUAAUCUGCAUAAUCAGUCCAGGUUUUGAGAGAUCGUAAGGAAUGUUUAUUUCAAAUGAUCCAAGCAAUGAAGAGCUUCUGUUUUGUGGAGAGACUUUGAAAGUUCUGAUUAAAUUGUCUCUGAUGUAAGAAUAAUGAUGGGACUUAGUACUGUUAUCCAAAAUCCUGAGGGGCUCUGUUACAGAGAGUGGAUAAGGGGUGGGGGAAAAACUUUCCGCUCCCAACAAGCUGCACAGAGAAAAUGGUUAAAAGUACUGGAGUGGUUAUGAGAUGUACAUUGAUUUAAUUUGGUCUUAAGUUUAUUCUUCCAGCAAUAUUUUUGUCAAAGCUUUUCAUCUUGCACUCAGUAGGCCAGUUCACAAGAAUACCAUUGUAGGCACCAAUGUACGGGGAAAUGCAACAAUUCUGCCAUAAGAGUGCACCCAUUCAUACUGAUUGAUUGACCAUUAAACGUCAGGUUUUGUUUCAAUUUUAAACCAGAUAGGCUGACAUAGUGUUCAGAGUAUCGUCCCAAGAAAUGAACCAAUAAGGGGCUGUCACCCAUUGUAUUGUACUCCUAAAGCACAACAAAAUGAGUCAUAAAGCGCAGAAACCGGCCCUUUGGUCCAACCAGUCUAUGCUGACCAUAAUCCCAAACUAAAUUGUCCCACGUGCCUGCUUCUGGCCCAUAUCACUUCAAACUUCUUCUGUUAUAGGAAGGAUAUUAUUAAGCUGGAGAGGGUUCAGAAGAGAUUUACCGGGUAUGGAAGGCUUAAGUAAUAAAGAAAGGCUGGGACUUUUAUCACUGAAGCGUAGAAGGUUGAGAGGAGCCCUUAUAGAAACUUAUAAUGUGUAGCUAGAGUCAAUGGUAGUUGUCUUCCCCUUAGGAUGGGGGAUUUCAAGACUAGGGGACACAUUUUGAAGUUGAGAGGAGACGUUUAAAAAAGACAUGAAAGGCAACUUUUUUACACAGUGGUUUGCAUGUGGAAUGCCCUUCCUGAGGAACUGAUGGAUGUGGGUGCAAUUACAAUGUUUAAAAGAGAUUUGGGCAAGUACAUGAGUAAGAAAUGUUUGGAGGGAUAUGGGCCAGGUGCAGGCAGUUGGGAUUACGUUUGGCGUGGACUGGUUAGACCGAACGAUCUGUUACCGUAUGACUCUGUUCUGACAAAAUACUUACUGCAUUUCUGAAAAAAAUUAUGCCCUGAUUAAAAUGGUGGUGGACAUGUUUUCAAAAGUAACCAUUAAAAAGCAAUUUGCAGUAUAAUCAGAAAGGAAAUGUAUGCAGGACUAUAGGAAAAAAGAAGGGAAUUGAGAGUACACAGUAUGGUGCUGGAGGAACAGCAGGCCAGGCAGCAUCACUGGGGCACGAAAGUUGACGUUUCGGAUCGGGGCCCUUUUUCAGAUUCCUGCUCCUCUGAUGCUGUCUGGCCUGCUGUGUUCCUCCAACUCCAUACUGUGUUGUCUCUGACUCCUGUAUCUGCAGUUCUUGCUAUCUUGGAAUUUGGACUAAGUGGAUAGAUCCUUCAAUGAGCCAGCACAAGCACUAUGUGCUGAGUAUCCUCCUGGGCUUUAAAAGUAUCAUUCCAACCACAGGGAGGCGAUGGUCUAGCGCUAUUAUUGAUGGACUGUUAAUUUACAGACUCAAGUAACAUUCUGGGGACUUGGGUUCAACUUCCGGCCAUGACAGAUGUGGAAUUUGAAUUCAAUUUUAAAAGUCUGGAAUUAAGAGCCUAAUGUUGGCCAUGAAUCCAUUGCUUAUUGUUGAGGUAAACCUGUCUGGUUCACUAAUGUCCUUUAUGGAAAGAAAUUGCCAUUCUUACCUGGUUUGGCCUACAUGCAACACUUUAGACACACAAUUUUGUGGGUGACUCUUAACUGCUGUCUGGGCAAUUAGGGAUAGGCAAUAAAUUCUGGCCUCGCCUGUGAAAGAAUAAUAAAAAAAAAAAGCAUUGCAGUAAUGUGGAUGUUUGGAAUCGGACCAGGUCCCUAGAACAGUAACAACUGGACGUGUGGCUAAUUGCCUGCCACGUUGGCUUACCAUUGCAGUAUCUCUUAUCAGCUGUAACACAAACCUCUUCAAUGUUUAAUGUUCUUAUUUGCUGCUCUUUCCCAAUGCCAUUUCAUCAUUUAUCGAAAGAAGCACAGUUCUUUUUUUUAAAAGAGCAGUAUGGCAAAAAAUUAUGCAAUGCUGAAAAUUCAAAACCCUUGGAAAAGAAAUCAAUAAAGGGAGUCAGCAAUGUAUGUGGGAAGGAAGUAUGUUAAUCUUUCAGGUAUGAAGCCUGAAAGAUGGUCAGUGAGUUAAAUAACAACAAAUGUAAAGGCAAUAAAGCUUUAUUUUGUGGCGGCUGUUUUAGCAACUUACUGCUUGCAUUUUCACUUUUCGUUUUGUUUCACAGAGCUCCUGUAGUAGGUGUUACUUGUGGCUCGGUGGGUAGCACCUUUUCGAGAUUGUAAUUUCAUUCCUGCUGCAGAAGCUCAAGAAGAAAGAAUCCUGGGUCAUCUGAGGACUAGAUGAAUGACCAUCUUUCUUGUUGAACGGUAAUCGCAAUAAAUAAAUGAAUAAAGAUAACACAGUGUGGAGCUGGAGGAAUGCAGCAGGCCAGGCAGCAUCAAUAAAUAUGUUUUAAUAAUCAAA